rnacentral:rRNA from 1 species
GCGCGCACUCGCGGUCGGUCCUCUCCGAGGCGCCGAGCGCGCGCGGUAGCGGAGGGGCGGUGUGAGAAGAGGAGGGAGGGAGGAGGAGGGUGGGUGUGGCUGGUUCGGUCUCGGAUAGGGAGAGGGGGGAGCAGCUGCACGAGGAGGGGCGGCUGCUGUCGAGUUAUCCUUGCUAGUUCGGUUGUUGGGUCCUUAGGCCCUCGCACCCACGCCGGUCCUCCACGAAGAAGGCGCAGGAUGCGGAUACGACGCCCUACCUCCUCCGAUCGAGGUCGUACCUUCCCCGGUCGCCGUCGGUGGGCCGCGGCCGCAGCCGGAGGCAGAGGGCGCGGUCGAGGCUCCUGCGGCUGAAGAAGCUGUGGGUGGCGGUCCUCCUGCUGCUGCUGCCUCUCCCGCCGGGCCCCCGGAUGUGCCGGAGGCUGUAGCGGCUCGCGAAGCAGGCGCAGUAGCUGCCGUUCCAGGUGCAGCUGAGGCGGCGCGGGCAGCUGGGGCAGGCGCCGCGGCAGAGGUUCAAGCCGCCGUAGGAGCUGACCGCNNNNGCCGCCGUCGUCCGGCUCCUCCUCGAGUAGCACCACGUGCGCCUCCGGCGCCUCAUGGUCGCGGCGUGCGCCCUCCACCUGCGGCGGGCCCGCCUCCGCGUCGUCCUGGAGUACCCGCGGUGGCCGCUCUAGCUGCUGGAGACCGAGUGGCAGUUCGCGCGCGUCUAGCGGCUCCGCGUCCGCGCGUUCCUGAGCCUCGAGCGGUUCGAGGCGGACGCGUUCGAGCUCUUCUCGCGGGCCCUCGCGCGCCGCCGCUUUCGGCUCGAGCUGAGGCAGGCGCCGGCGGUGCGGCGGCGCGAGCGGCUGGACGCGCGCCGGUCCCGGCUCUACCUGCGCGAGUCCUUCCUCGCCCUGCGGCAGCGCCUCCUCCGGUCGCGGCGCCGCCGCUCCCACGCCCUGUGACGACCGCUCUGCCACGUGCGGCGGCUCCGGGACUCCCUCCGGCGGCGCCUCAAGCUCCACGAGUCCCGGCUCGACCUCAGGCGCGCGCGGCGGGUGCUGCGCCGCCUCCUCUUCUCCUACUCCGACCGCGACCGCACCGCCCUCCUGUUCCACGCCACCGUCUUGGUCGACCUCCUUCGACUCUACCUCCACGCCUCCGACUCCCUACUCGACCGGCGCCGGCCGCUGGAGCUCAGGGUCCACCGGCGCCGAAGGCUCGUAGAGCGCUGGGAGUCUCGGCUCGACAAGCGCGCGCGCCAGGUUCCCCGGUCGCUCCUCCUCCUAUUUGUCUGCAGCCGUCGCUCGUCGUGCGGCCGCUACCACCCGUUCCGCUUCUUCCUCGAGCUCCUCCGCUACCCCUCGCAGCUCUUCCGGUUCCUGCUCUGGUUCUAGGACGUGUAGCGGCGGCGCAGCGACGCGCGUCUGGACCUCUUCCUCUUCCGCCUCGAGCGGCGCGAUGCCGUCUUCGUCUCGUGCAGCAGCAGGCGCAGGUAGGUCAGCGACCUCCUCCUCGACUCGACCCACUGGAGGCUCGAGCGGCGCCGCGUCCGUUCUCGCUCCCUGUCGCUUCUCCCCUUCUUCUUCUGCUGCGGGCUUGUCGAACUGCUCCGUGCCGCUCUCCGCCUCGCUCGGUUCCGCUCGCGAGCCCGCUGCGUCCUCCUUCAGCGGCGCCGGUCCCUUCUGCGCGCGCACCGGUCCCGGCGCCAGGUCCGGUGCCUCCGCGCCGACCUCCGGCACGACGCCCUCCAUGAGCGGCGCUUCCGCAGCCGCCUCCGGCGGCGCCGGAGCCGCCUGCGCGACGACGUCGUCGUCGUCCUGCGGUGGGUCUCGCGCGUCUCGGUUCAGGGGCUUCUGACGCACCGCAACUGGUGCCUCCUCAUGCUCCUCGACUCGGCCUCCCGCGCCCCCUGCCUCCUCCGCCGGCCGCUCGCCCACCGCCUCCGCGACUCCGUCCACUUCCUCCGGUUCCUGCGCCUCCGCGCCCCGGUCGUCUUCGACCGCUUCGACCCCUCCCUGUGCCUCGACUCCUCCGUCUGCGAUGCCCGCCGCUCCCUCCUCACGCUCGUCCGCCUCAGCCGCUUCGACCGCCGCCUCGCCGUCGACGUCCGCCUCGACGCCGCCGCGCGCCCGCCGCUCUGCCGCAGCGGCGGGGCGUGCCCCGACCGCCUCUAGAGCUGCAACCUCCCGCCGCUGCGCGCGCCGCCCUUGGGCGUGUAGGACUCGGGCUCCCGGCCCAUGUACGGCUCCCGCCUGUACCGCCGCUACCGCCGCCGCCUCCUCCGGCCCGUCUUCUUCGGGAAGAAGGGCGCGUACCAGUACAAGGACCGGUUCUUCUCUCGCGUCUGUACCUUGCCGUUCACUUAGCAGAAGAACGAGCCGCAGCCUAGUCGAGGAGCGGCCGACACUACCUUCUAUUAUGACUAUGUAGUAGCCUGUACACAUUACACAUAUAACUAGUUACUCCCCCUAGUACUGAGAAAAACAUUUCAGAUUGUUUUCUACUAGUACUCUAAAAAAAACCGAGCCACGACACUACUACGUCUACUUCUAACUAAAGACACUACG